CCUGAUGGCUCAGAUGGUAAAGACUUUGCCUGUAAUGCAGGAGACCCAGGUUCAAUCCCUGGAUCAGGA
rnacentral:tRNA from 1 species